UUUUCGUCUUAUUGGCUCUCACAGGGGUAGGGAUAGGAAUUCUGGCUACACCUCGGACACCUAAUACCUGCUUAACGAGUUAUAUUUUGGCGACUUUGAGUUGUAAAGGAAAGUAGACCGAGUUUGUCUCUCAUGGUCGAUUGCCCCGAGGAAUAUUGGGUACAAACCGGUACAAACCAAGAAGGUGAAAAUGGACUACUUUUUGUGUGUGGAAAAGGUCCGCUAGGUGAUAGUGGGUAAGAUGCUGGAUGUUCACUAGAAGAAGACAGACUUAUUUCACAAUCAAAACUAUAUACAACCAUUGAUUUUUGUGUGUUCAUUCGAUCAUGCUUGAAGCUAUUAGGGUAAAAGAGCGAAUUGGGACAGCGUUUGGGCAAACAGUCUUCCUUAUGGAGAAUGCGUGUAAAGCCGAUCUGCUAAUUUGGGACAAAAACCCUAAUUCGUGGGACACUUUUUCUAAUUUGGGACAAUCAUAUUUUUUAAAACUAAUUCAUUCAUUCGAUUCAGUUUUUAAUUCUGAAUCGAUUUGCUUAAGACACCAAACGGGGUGCAAUAGGAAAAUAUUGCGAAAUUUAUGAUUUAAAAAACCAAAACAAAGAGCUGUCAAAACGAGACUUCAUCUGUACAGGCCUGUGUACUUGCAAUCGAAACUCAUGUCAACCACAAAAUAUUUAUUUUUUAUAAAUUUAUAUCAUACUGUUCUCUUUAAGUAGCCAAUAGGCCAUCAUAUCAUGGUAAAAAACAAAAAAAAUAAACGUGCCUGGAAUUUUCGAGAAAA